GCAAACUUGGUCAUUUAGAGGAAGUAAAAGUCGUAACAAGGUCUCCGUAGGUGAACCUGCGGAGGGAUCAUUACAGAGUAAGGGCCUUCGGGUCCGACCUCCAACCCUUUGUUAGCAAAACCAUGUUGCCUCGGGGGUGACCCUGCCUUCGGGCUCGCGUCCCCCCGGUGGACCACUAAACACUGCAUCUAUUGCGUCAGAGUAGAUUUUUAAUAAAUCAAAACUUUCAACAACGGAUCUCUUGGUUCUGGCAUCGAUGAAGAACGCAGC
rnacentral:misc_RNA from 1 species